CAAUAAGCUGAGUGACUUUAAGCUGCAUUGCUUUAUUUUGCAUGUGUAUUGUAAAAUUAGGCAAUGCAAGUCAUUUUCCCACCUGCAAUGACCUGUCAAAACAUCUACUGUGAAAAAUGUUAAGCCUCUGCACCUGAUUUCAAUAAUCAACUGAUGACAAGGAGGCCACACUCACACCAGAAACUGCAGUAUCUUUACUCUCGUUCCCAAAAGCUCAGCCAUCCAGCUAAAUGGACAUUCAACAGCCAAAUGCUUUUUUGAUGGAACAGAGACCCGGUCUGGAGCCCAUCCAGGAAGAGUCAGAGCUUGAGGAUGAAACUGAAGGGAACAGAACAAGAGAAGGAAAUGAGGGUGAUUUUCCAUUUCAGGUAGGUGUGGAGGAAGAGGAUGCGCUGGCAGAAGAUGAGAGCGAUAAAGAUGACGAUGCUGCUCAACUGAGGGUUCUGAGACCUGGGAGGCUGUCUCGUUCCCUGAGCCAAUUAACAAACCAUCCACACGAAGGAACCGAGAGCUUUCCCGUGUCUGAUGUGAGCACGCUUUCUUUUGAUCUACGUGGUGAAGCUACAACACCAGGACAGCCAAAAUUUACAAACGUAAGGAGAUCCAGUAGCAGUAAGGUGAAAAUAAAGGUCUCCAAGAUUAAGUGGCAGAAACCGAGAAGAUCUAAACGGCCAGUGCGGAAGCCAAGGGAACGCUGUAACAAAAACUUUAUGGCUGAGGAACCGUUUCCCCCCUGGCUAGCGGAUCUGAUGGUCAGCAUCGAAGAGGCAACAACUCAUCAACUGGUGGUUGAGUGACAUUAUCUCAUGAGGUGAACGUGAAAGAUUUGGGACACGCCAAGCUGUGACCUCAUUCGUGACAACCUGAACGUUCAACAAAUUCUGCCUAACGUGCCUUAUUUAAGGUAGCCACUGACAAGGGAGUGAAGUCCAUGUGCGGGCCUGUUUUGUUUGUUGUUAUACGUGAAUAAACAAAAAGCACGAUAACUGGUUUCAUUACAAGAGUUCAAUACUUGGAGAGAACAUGACGUUUACAUGAUGUAUAUAUUUUGUGCAAGAGUUAAUUAUGUCAUUCUGUUAUCUUCAGUUUGGUAUUUGUGCUUCUAGCCCCCUGCUGUCUUCGCUGUAUUUUUAUUUUGUGUAUCAAUCCCUUUUUCAACCACAGCAGGCCAGCACUUGCUGCUGUUAGGUUCAACCUGAACCCGUUUACCGUUUCUUAAGUUACUAGAUUUGGAUGCCAGCGAAGAAUGUAACAUGAAGGACCAAAGCUCUCUUCAGCAUUCAUAUUCAUUCAUAUCAAUAAAAUUUAUUUUUCUAUUUUUUAUGAAAAAGUGUUUUCACCUAACCUAUGCAAGCUAAAGUAAAUCUGCAUUAAAAUAAAUAUUAAAGUAUCAGUUCUUGCACAUGCAAAAGUAGUAACGCUGUGGUGCUUUUCUUACAUCAUGAUUAUGUUAUUAAAUUAGUAAAAUAUGUGCGAUUCAUGUAUAGUCUGCAGUACUUUAAAGAGGAGCUAAUGCAGACUUCUUUUAUAUACUGCUGGGUGUACACAUUUCUAGCAAUUUAAAUGUAAUUUAAAAUUAAGAUAUUCAAAGACAACAUAUUUUACCUUCCUAUUAAAUGCAAAAUGUACACACAUGCAGUUCAUGUGCUCAUUUAUUUUUAUUUCUCAUUGUGCUGCGAGUCCAUAUCCUCACAUUCAUCAGCAUUUUCUCUUUAACUUCAUUUUUUUAUCCACAGACUGUACACAUACUUUUGUUUUUAAGACCUGUGUUUUUAGUAAUUGGUCCUGAUGACUGUAUCUGUUUCCUUGGUGAAUAAUUAUUAAAUAAAAAAUGAAAUUAAAAGUUUUCAGGGU
ensembl:lncRNA